AAAAUCAAUGGCUCACAAGAAUUGGGCUUGUGAGCAGCAUUUGGGCUGUUUUCUUGAACAUUGCUGGGCUCCAAGUCAUCCUCCAUGUGGAGGGAUAGCCCAACAAUAGGCGCAUGAGUGUGCUCAUGCAAAAAAUUUUAAUAUCAACUGCCUCAAUAUUCGGUCACAAAUAUCAUUUCUACAUACGGUUAACACAUCCGAUCAAAUUUAAGUAUUCAAAUUUACUCCAAGGUUGGUUUGAAAGUCUUCAAAUUUACUUACUCCAAGAUCACUCUAUCCCAGCCCAUAACCACCC
rnacentral:lncRNA from 1 species